rnacentral:rRNA from 1 species
CUGCCAGUAGUCAUAUGCUUGUCUCAAAGAUUAAGCCAUGCAUGUCUAAGUCCAAGCUGUGUUCACACGGCGAGACCGCGGACGGCUCAUUAAAUCAGUCGUGGUCCAAAUGGGCCAGUGCAAAUCCUACUUGGAUAACUGUGGUAAUUCCAGAGCUAAUACAUGCAACUGAUAUCCCGAAGGCGGUGUUUGGGCUUGCUUGCCUUGCGCUGCGCUGCUCUGACGGAUGCUUUUAUUAGACCAAGCCGCUGAGGACUUGAGGGUUCGCGCUCUCUUGUCUGACUCGUGUGAUGGUGACUCUGGAUAACCAAAUUCUGACAAGCGCACGUACUUCUCUUCUGAGCGAGACGGCGCUGCCACUUUCGAGUGUCUGCCUUAUCAGCUAUCAACCGUUCGUUAUGCGCGACCGAUGGCUUUGACGGGUAACGGGGAAUCAGGGUUCGAUUCCGGAGAGGCAGCCUGAGAGACGGCUACCACGUCCAAGGACGGCAGCAGGCACGCAAAUUACCCAAUCCCAGCAAAUGGGGGAGGUAGUGACGAAAUCUAACGAUGCGGGCGCCCUUUCUGGGGCCCCGCAAUCGGAAUGGGCACUUUCUAAACAACCUGUUGAGAACCUACUGAAGGG